AGUUGCUAUGUUAGUGCUUCCGGAAUUUAGGCGGGACGUAAAAUCGGUUAGAGAUUUAUCCAAAUGUGUUUGAGUAGUAAAGUUGUAUGUCUUGUUCAACGUCUUGUUAGUUAUGGUAACAGAUUUAAUUCUAACAGAAAAAAUGCUUACAGAUGUUGAAAACGUGGUAGUCGGAAAGCCAAAAUCUCAGUCGCCUGCUAAAUCUGAAAAAAAUGUUAUCACCAGAAGAUCGCUAAGGAAUUUGCAACCAACGGCAACAGAUAAAGAGAACCUAGUUGGUGGGGGAAUGAUGCCUACUCCUAUCAAAGAUCACAUGAAGACAAUUUCCGGAACCUUUGAAAAAAGGAGUUUAUUGGAUGAGCAACCAAAUAGUUCAAAGAGUGGUGAAUACAGAAAGAAGAAACUCAUUAAUAAAUAUGUCCAAACAGAAGAAGAAAAGUUGGUGAUAAGUGCUGAGGAUCUUACUACCAAAGGAACCCCAAGCAUAAAAUACUGGAAGUCUUUGGCCAAUACAAAACAAGCUUCUCUGGAGAAAGUUUUGGUAGAGAACAGCAAAUUAAAAGAAAAGAUUUUUCUUUUAGAAGAGGAGGUCAAGAAUUAUAAGAUAAUGCUAUCAGAAUCAGAAGAUUUGGUCAGUACAUUGAAGGAAUUGCUGGAUUGCCCUCAAGAUUCUGAGGCUGAUACGGAAACUCGAGAAGACGAAAAUGUUGCAGAAAGUGAAUGACUUAAGUGUUGUGCCAAAGUAAACUGUUUUAGCUGUUAAGACACGUUUUUUAAAAAUUCCCGUUUACAUUGGCUCAGCAUUGGCCAUAUAUGACCAUAAAUUGGCCAGAAUAAUAAUUAGUUGAUGCAUUAAGAUGUGCUUUUAUGUGGUAAGUUAUUUUUUAGCUGUAAAUGUUUUGCAGAAGUAACAUUUUAAAUAUAUCUUUAAUAUGUAAUGGCAUAUAAAAUAUUUCAUUUUUAUUAAUUUAUACAUAUGGUUGGUAUGCUGUGAGAUAUGGUACUUUGUCACAUGUUCUAGUAUUGUAUUCAAAACCUUAGUACUUGACUUGAAAGUUACUUUUUCAAACUACUAUUGCAUUAGCUGAAAAAGAUUAAUUUAAACCUCGGUGGAAAGCUAGGUAUCUGUUCCGAAGUUGAAGAUACUCUUGUUAUCAAAACAAACUGUAGCCAUAUAAAAGCUAAACAUUUGUUCUGUAGCUUGUAAGGAAAUCAAGAAGAGAAAUAAAAGAUGAAGUUUGUGUUGUUAAACAAAGAUGUUAACACAUCAGCAAGCAGUUAGCAUUAAACUUUGUUGUAGCCUAUUAUAGUUUUGAUAUCUACAAGGAGGGAAGGGUAGUUAUCAUUUUUACUUCAAUUUUUAACAUAACAAAAAUUGCAUACACCAAAUCAUGAACUUUCCUGCUGUCAUGGUAAAGUGUGUGGAGAUGCAAAUUCUUAAGUUUGGGAUAAAGUUGCAAAUUUUAGAUCCCUGGUUUACUAAAAAUGGGCAGAACAUGAAAUUACAAACUCCCAACGUUCAAAAUUUAGUUAAAGCUGUAAGUUUCAAAAUGGCCAGAAUUUUUUGGAUAGAGAGUAUAUUAGAAAUACAGCACAGAACUACAGUGAAAUUUAUAUUGACUUGUCCACUUCUUGCUAAUUUUAGCAUUGAUAACAAAUCUUACCACCUGACAAGAGACUCAUGUAGUAGGUGAGUGAUAGGAUCAUCUUUGAUAGUUGCUUACUAAAAAUGUAAAAAUAUAUCUUUCUGAGAACAUAUGUGAACCAGACACUGGGUAGUUGAAACUGCCUAGCAUAUUUUUGUCCCUAUUAUGUACAGUGGAUUAUGAUUUCAACCAUUAGUACUUAAAACUCAUUCUUGUACCUUCUUGGCCAUACUUGUACGUAUAAGCUUAAUAUUUGGGACUGUUCAAAUAUCAUAUUUUUGGUAUUUGAUUAAAUGUUUAGCUAAAAAAUUGGUUAUUCUUUAUUGAUUUUUAUAUAGAGUUUAAUAUAAUUGGGAAGUCAGUCAACAGAUUGAAAUCACAGUAAGAUUUAUUUCACAUUUAAAAGCAAACACUUCAGGCUUCAUAUAAAAUUAAUUAACUCCCAAAUGCAUUGCACAAAAUUAACAGAUUUUGUUGGCGACACCAAGAUUAAAAACAUUUUUGAGCCUCUAAUUUGAAUUACUAAUUCUUAUAAUGAUGUGUUUUGGUCUCAAGUCAAAACUCUUAUGAACAGUAGUUGGCUAAUGGCAUCUGAAUUUUCAUUGAUUAAUGUUAAUGGGGCCAGAUAUUGUCCCAACUAAUCAGAAAAUUGUUAAUAGGUGUUCAUUGUCGCUGUGGUUAAGGCAUUAAACCAUUUUUUUUGUGUCUACCAUUAGAAUGUACAAAUUUGCUACAACCAUUUAGAAAUUUAAAAAAAUUGGUGAUACAUAUUCAAUAAUUGGUUGGUUGUGUCUGUUACUUUGACAGAAACUGCAAAAAUGUAUCAUGUACACAUCACAUGCAGUAGAACCCUGUUAUAAUGUUUUUCAAGGGAGCACAAGAAAAAAACAUUAUAAGCAGGAAAUCUCAAUUUAGCACUUAACAAUGUUCGAGCUUUGUACCAAUGGACUCACAAAGGUAUGUAAACAACUUUAAUGUUAAAACCAAAGAAAGUAUACUUGAUAGGUACAUGAAUUUACUGAAACAAGCCAACAAUUUUUCAACUUCGUCUUGUUCCCUGGUUAAAUUUUGUUUGUCUUUAAAGAUACACUGCCACAUUUUUUGUAAAAUUGUCUCACGAUUCAUGACAACAUUCAGAGUGAGAACGUCUACUCCUUCGCCACCUGAAAAUGUUUAAUUUUGGGAUUCCUACGUAUGAAUGAAGAAAAAAAAAUUAUUUGUAAGCAAUAGAAAACACUUUUAGUUAUGCACUCAAUGGUUGGCAACUUAAAUAUUGUAGGACUAUGUACGUGCAUCUGAAUACCCACUGGAAUGGCAAGGAAGAGAAGUUGACUAAGGGUGCCAACUGACACGUAACUAUGAACAUUGUGUACCUUCAGUAUAUUGCAUAAAAUUGUAUUUUAACAAACUUCAUGUAUUGUAUGGCAGUGAUUGUAAACCUACAUAAAGGAAACUUUUUAUCGUAA